rnacentral:tRNA from 1 species
GCUUGUGUAGCACAGCUGGCAGUGCAGCUCAUUCGUAAUGAGCAGGUCGCAGGUUCAAAUCCCGUCACAAGCUCCA